AAAGCCUUGACUCUCGGAGGGGGUGCACGCACGCUGCCGUCUCUCCCGCACACCACGCGUCAGCUGAUUUCACGAUUUUCCCCAAGUGGCUUCAAUCAACACAAGAAAACUAAUUGACACGGAGGAAAAAGAGAAAGAGAAAGAGAAAGUUAAUAGUUAAUAUACUGUGGAUCAAAUAUACACGUACAUUUUUUUUUCUUCUAUUUGGAGAAAACUAACCACGCCCUUUAAAUAUAAGAGUUAAUCAUAGUCGUUAAAGAACGCUCACGGUCAGCGGUUUUGUGAAAUUAUAGCAACAAUACAGCGCAGAAAGCGAGCGAAUUCGCGCUAUCAUCCAUCGUCAUCAGCCGCCAUUUUGGCAGAGAAAGUGCGCACGCAUCUCGCGACUCAUUUGUUUCCCGGCCUUGUGGAUUUUCUUUUUAUCUAUUUAAAUGAGAUAUCUAUCACUUACUGUGAAUGAUUUUUCGUUUAUCCUAAGCGAAGAAUGUAUUAGUAUUAAUUGUGAUUGUUGAAAAGUGAAAAACACAUAUAGUUGAAUGCAGGAGAGACGAUUUUAUAGAAUAAACAUAUAGAUAAACAUUCAUUGAAGACAAAGAAAAAUAACAGAAGAAAGAGGCAAAAACUAGAAAGCAAAAAAGAGAAAAGAAAAAGAAGAAAAAAAAACAAAGCCAUAAAAAGCAAGACACAUGCCGAUCAUAUAGUUAGUCAGUCUUCUGCUAGUCAUCCACAGCUUAACCUUUGAUCACUUUUCGUCCAAUUUUCACUAACCCCGCCAGCAAGAUGAGCAGGUGGCCGACUGUGUUCUUCCUGCUGCCUCUGCUUCUGCUGCUGACGUGGACAGCGCCUUCAGAAGCUACCUGCGGCUCGUGUAAUGAACGGCUGAAAGUGUCCAUCAUAUGUUGUUUGUUCGAAGGAAAAUGCUGCGUAUUAGGACCUGUAGCCAUCGGCAAGCGUGACGUCACAUCGGCGUUGGAGCGACAUCCCUGGAGUGAUGACGUAGUUGAUGACGUAGUUGAUGACGUCAGCAGCAGAAUCGUCCAUCCACAUGCCCGCCCGCGCUGACCUGACCUGGAUUGACCUAAUUUUAAUUUCUUUUGUUAAGGGUUUACUAUAUUAGUUUUUUGUUUGUUUGUUUGAUUUGUAUAUUUUUUUGUUAAAGUAUCUUGUCAAAAUGGAGUAUUUUUUUAAAAGAAGGUACUUAUUAAUAAAGUUAAUGUUGAUGAUGCUGUGUAAUUGCAUAGCCAUGCUCGCAAUCAAAAAGUGAUAAUGAAAAUGAUAAUUUUGUGGAAGUUUUUUUUUCUUUUCAUACACUGUUGCUCGUGUUAUACUUAAUAUCUUUUUUAAAAGUAUAUUGAUAUUUCUUUAAAAAAGAUGAUGUGUUUAUGAUUACCACCGAAAUUAUUCUACAAGUGUCACUCAUCUAUUAUAGGGAAUUACUUGGAACAGCUGCGGUUAUUAGCCAUUGAAUAUACGUACUAUGCACGCACACACACACACACACACACACACACACACACACACACACACACACACACACACACACACACACACACACACACACUAGUGGGGAAGGGUGCUACAAGCCCCCCACCCCACACACACACACCCUCUUCCCCCAAAAAAUGUUAAAAUUUGUUAAUAUUCUCAUGCAAACACAUAUUAAACUGAAUGAUCAAGUUAUCAAUAUGCAACCGUUCGGAUUUCAGUUCGGAUGACAAAAUAAAAGAAUAACAUACCAUUUUCUAUUGCAAAGACGUUCCUUAAAUGUUGGUUAACUACAUAUAUAUAUAUAUAUAUAUAUAUAUAUAUAUAUAUAUAUAUAUAUAUAUAUAUAUAUAUAUAUAUAUUUGUAUUAUGGCAUAUUAGAAUACAUUUUGGGCUUAAUUUCCCUAGUAAGUUAACAAUACAUCUCAUUCUUCAAAUAGGGGGGGGGGAUACGCCCCUCCCCCCGUUUCGCCACAGAAAUAAACACAGACAACAAACAAAAAAACAAGAACAUUAGUCAAUAUAUAAAGAUUCAUACAUUUUCAUAAACGUCAUAAAUUUUCACCUAAAUAGACUUCCAUGAUUUUCUAAUGCAACACAUACUAGAAAUUUUCUAGAUAUUGCUAGGCUGUCCUCUAUAAUUAUCCAAUAUAAAUGUGGUGAUAAAAACCUUAACAUUAAGUGAUUCACAUUUGAAAUAAGGAUUAUUUUGUCGAAUAAUCUUUCUUUAUGAUAAGGAAAUAGUGUAUGGCUUUUUAAGAGCUUUGUAUAGUAGAAUAAGUAAUAUGGCACAGUAAGUGGCAACCUUCUGAAUGUUGACUACCUAAAACCAUUUAUAUAUAUAUAUAUAUA
rnacentral:lncRNA from 1 species